UUCUUAACUUACACAUGCAAGUCUCAGCACUCCAGUGAAAACGCCCUUUAAACCUAUAAAAGGAUAAGGAGCUGGCAUCAGGCACAGAAUCCUUGCCCAUAACGCCUAGUUUCACCACGCCUCCAAAGGUAGUCAGCAGUGAUCAACAUUGUCCAUAGGCGAAAGCCCGAGUCAGUUAAAGAAAAGAGAGUUGGCCAACCCGGUGCCAGCCGCCGCGGCCAUACCGGUGGACUCAAGUUAAUGCCAACCGGCGUAAAGCGUGAUUAAAGAAUUACUAAAUUAGAGUUGAAGUGUGGCUUAGCUGUUGAAAGCUUACCUAAUAGAACCCCAGAAACGAAAGUUACUCUAAUUAACCUCUUGAAUACACGACAGUUUGGGCACAAACUGGGAUUAGAUACCCCACUAUGCCACACCGUAAAUUUGAACUACACUUAAAACGCCAGGGUACUACGAGCCGAGCUUAAAACCCAAAGGAUUUGACGGUGUUCCACCCAACUAGAGGAGCCUGUUCUAUAAUCGAUGAUCCACGAUAUACCUAACCAUUUUUUGCUAUUCAGCCUGUAUACCUCCGUCGUAAGCUUACCGCUUGAGUGAGGAAAAGUAAGCAAAAGGGCCUAAGGCCAAAACGUCAGGUCAAGGUGCAGCUUAUAAAAUGGAAGAAAUGAGCUACAAUUUCUAAUUUAGAAUACACGAAUUACUGCAUGAAACAAAGUCAUGAAGGUGGAUUUAGCAGUAAGUGAGGAAUAGAGAGCCUCACUUAAUUCGGCCCUGGAACGCGUACAAACCGCCCGUCACCCUCUUCGAUAGCUUAAUUAAUAGUUAAAUAACCUAUUCACCGCGUUUUAGAAGAGGCAAGUCGUAACAUGGUAAGCAUACUGGAAAGUGUUCUUGGAAUAA
rnacentral:ncRNA from 1 species